GACAGAGGGUGCGAACGUUGCUCGGAAUUACUGGGCGUAAAGCGCGUGUAGGCGGGUGAUCAAGUCAGGUGUGAAAUCCCCAGGCUCAACCUGGGAACUGCACUUGAAACUGGUCGCCUUGAGUGUUGGAGAGGGAAGCGGAAUUCCUGGUGUAGAGGUGAAAUUCGUAGAUAUCAGGAGGAACACCGGCGGCGAGGGCGGCUUCCUGGACAAUUACUGACGCUGAGACGCGAAAGCGUGGGGAGCAAACAGG
rnacentral:rRNA from 1 species